rnacentral:RNase_P_RNA from 1 species
CUGCAAGCGCGGUCUAUCGCCUCGGCUAAGUCGGGGAGGAAAGUCCGGACAGCAUAGAGUACCGCACUCUUGGAAACAGGAGGACUCGGCAUAGCCGAGGACAGAAAGUGCCACAGAAAAUAACUACCCUCGGCUUCGCCGAGGGAAAAGGUGAAAAUGUGAGGUAAGAGCUCACAGCUUGUAUAGGUAACUAUACUCGAGGGUAAACCUUGCGGGCUGCAAAGCCAAAUAAGUCCCGAUUUUGGAGCUACUCGUUCCAAGCCUAGUGCAGCGGGAUGGGUAGGCUGCGUAGAUAAAUGAUAGACACCACUCCGGUGGAACAGAAUCCGGCUUAUGCGCUUGUAGUUUU